UAACGGCUUACCAAGCCGACGAUCAGUAGCCGGCCUGAGAGGGUGGACGGCCACAUUGGGACUGAGACACGGCCCAGACUCCUACGGGAGGCAGCAGUGGGGAAUAUUGCACAAUGGGGGAAACCCUGAUGCAGCAACGCCGCGUGAAGGAAGAAGUAUUUCGGUAUGUAAACUUCUAUCAGCAGGGAAGAAUAAAAUGACGGUACCUGACUAAGAAGAACCGGCUAAAUAC
rnacentral:rRNA from 1 species